CUACGGGUGGCUGCAGUGAGGAAUAUUGCGCAAUGGGGGAAACCCUGACGCAGCAACGCCGCGUGAGUGAGGAAGGUUUUCGGACCGUAAAGCUCUGUCGAGCGGGAAGAAGUGCAUGGUGGCUAAUAUCCAUUAUGCUUGACGGUACCGCUAAAGGAAGCACCGGCUAACUCCGUGCCAGCAGCCGCGGUAAUACGGGGGGUGCUAGCGUUGUUCGGAAUCAUUGUAGGCAAAGAGCGUAGUCAGGGCUGAAAGCCCUGGGCUUAACCUAGGAAGUGCAUUUGAAACUGUUCAGCUUGAGUAAGGGAGAGGAAAGUGGAAUUCCUGGUGUAGAGGUGAAAUUCGUAGAUAUCAGGAGGAACACCGGUGGCGAAGGCGACUUUCUGGCCCUAUACUGACGCUGAGACGCGAGAGCGUGGGUAGCAAACAGGAUUAGAUACCCUUGUAGUC
rnacentral:rRNA from 1 species